GGUAAUUUAACUGUUGCAACUAUGAAAUUCACUACAGAUCUUGGUAACUGGAGUACUUGUGCCAUCAGGUAUUUAUGGAUGCAACAACAAAGACUGGCAUUAGAAGACACACUAAUGAUUCCUAAACUAGAGAAGAUUAGAGGGAUGCUUGACCUCACAGAUAAUGAAUGGUUACUUCUAAAACCCCAAUCCACUAAAUGCAAUGAAUGGUUAACUGGUAAUGUUUCACAUUUUUCAUGCUCAUGCUCUUUUACACUAUAUCAUACAUCAUCAAAGGAUGUUAAAUUAGCUUGUCAAUUUAACACAUUACCAGUACCAGUUUAUGAUCUCUUUACCAGGAAUUUAACCUGGUGGGCACCCACAUACACAGGGGACUAUAUUUUUCCCAAAGAUAAUAUGACCUAUUCCCUUAAACACUGUGUUCUCACUGAC